UUCCAACUUCAUAUAGGCGAGUUGCAGCCUACAAUCUGAACUGGGACCGUUUUUAGGGAUUUGCUCCACCUCGCGGUAUUGCUUCCCUCUGUUAACGGCCAUUGUAGUACGUGUGUAGCCCAGGUCAUAAAGGGCAUGAUGAUUUGACGUCGUCCCCACCUUCCUCCACCUUGUCGGUAGCGGUCCCGAUAGAGUGCUCUUGCGUAGCAACUAUCGGCAGGGGUUGCGCUCGUUGCGGGACUUAACCCAACAUCUCACGACACGAGCUGACGACAACCAUGCACCACCUGUCUCAACUUUCCCCGAAGGGCACCUAAUGUAUCUCUACUUCGUUAGUUGGAUGUCAAGACCUGGUAAGGUUCUUCGCGUUGCUUCGAAUUAAACCACAUACUCCACUGCUUGUGCGGGCCCCCGUCAAUUCCUUUGAGUUUCAACCUUGCGGUCGUACUCCCCAGGUGGAAUGCUUAAUGUGUUAACUCCGGCACGGAGGGGGUCAGUCCCCCCACACCUA
rnacentral:rRNA from 1 species